rnacentral:rRNA from 1 species
UGGGCAAUGGGCGAAAGCCUGACCCAGCCACGCCGCGUGUGUGAUGAAGGCUUCGGGUCGUAAAGCACUGUGGGGAGAGACGAAACAGCGCGCCAGGAAAUGGGUGCGCCUUGACGGUACCUCCUUAGCAAGCACCGGCUAACUCUGUGCCAGCAGCCGCGGUAAUACAGAGGGUGCAAACGUUGCUCGGAUUUACUGGGCGUAAAGCGCGUGUAGGCGGACUCGCAAGUCGGUUGUGAAAUCCCUGGGCUCAACCUAGGAACUGCAUCCGAAACUGCUUGUCUUGAGUAAUGGAGAGGGUGGCGGAAUUCCCGGUGUAGAGGUGAAAUUCGUAGAUAUCGGGAGGAACAUCAGUGGCGAAGGCGGCCACCUGGACA